UACGGAGGGUGCGAGCGUUGUCCGGAAUCACUGGGCGUAAAGGGCGCGUAGGCGGCUGGGGAAGUCGGCGGUGAAAGCCCGGAGCUCAACUCCGGGUCGGCCGUCGAGACUCCUCGGCUCGAGCUCACUAGAGGCAGAUGGAAUUCCGGGUGUAGCGGUGGAAUGCGUAGAGAUCCGGAAGAACACCAGUGGCGAAGGCGGCCCGCUGGGCAGUGGCUGACGCUGAGGCGCGACAGCGUGGGGAGCAACAGG
rnacentral:rRNA from 1 species